AGUGAACGCUGGCGGUAGGCCUAACACAUGCAAGUCGAACGGCAGCACAGUAAGAGCUUGCUCUUACGGGUGGCGAGUGGCGGAUGAGUGGUGAAUACAUCGGAAUCUACUUGUUCGUGGGGGAUAACGUAGGGAAACUUACGCUAAUACCGCAUACUACCUACGGGUGAAAGCAGGGGAUCUUCGGAUCUUGCGCGAUUGAAUGAGCCGAUGUCGGAUUAGCUAGUUGGCGGGGUACAGGCCCACCAAGGCGACGAUUCGUAGCUGGUCUGAGAGGCUGAUCGGCCACACUGGAACUGAGACACGGUCCAGACUCCUACGGGAGGCCGCAGUGGGGAAUAUUGGACAAUGGGCGCAAGGCUGAUCGAGCCAUGCCGCGUGGGUUAAGCAGGCCUUCGGGUUGUAAAGCCCUUUUGUUGGGAAAGAAAAGCAGCAGGUUCAAACCCCGCUGUUAUGACGGUACCCAAAGAAUAAGCCCCGGCUAAAUUAGUG
rnacentral:rRNA from 1 species